GCUUAGGGAAGAUGUGUGGUCCAGAUUGCUUCUCAAGUUUCUCAAAUAGGGUGGACUUCUCUUAGGAUCCCUACCCUAUAUUCAUAUAUAUAAAACAAUGUAUAUAACUAGAAUAAUUAAAUAACAAAUGAGCGGAGUCCGAGCUUGAAAAACAACUCACGAUCCUAGAUUGAGCUUUAGACAUAGAGCUCGAUAGGAGCCCAACUCGUGCUCGAUUAGUUUACACCCCUACCUCCACCCAGUAUCAUUCACUCAUUCAGUAACGUGGAAAAUCAACAAACAACACAUUUGAAUGCCGAACAGAGUUUACCUUGCUAAUUUUUGUAAUUGUGGUGCCAGGAGGUAUCUCCUUGGAUAACAGAUUUUUGGCAAUGUCUUCCGGAAGAUCAAAAACCGCACCUUGAACCUGAUAACACAUAACAUAUAUACACGUCAUCGAAAGCAAAGUCUUGUGAAACAUUGAUAAACCAUUAGGUGUAUACCUUUUUGUCUGCUAUAACAUGUAUUUUUCCAAGUACACCAGCAGCAGUAGCAUAAACACUGGACAAGAAUCCCGUGACUGUUCUAGCCGACAUGUACCCUUUUAUUGAUGAAUCAGAAUCCCGUGUCAUUUGUAACGUUGUCCAUCCCUAUUAUGCAACAUAUACAACUGCCCAUUAGGCAAAAGUGUUUUGUGUCAACAAACCCAACCUCACAUGUUUUGACCCAUACAAAAAAUGACCCGCCCGGCAUCUUAUCCGACCCACCCAUGUUGCUGCCGCUUGGCAUCUCAAACAAGUGGUUAUGAAAAUAUACCUGCUCGUGUGUGAUAAGAGAACGGGAGGAUGGAGGUUGGGAGAAACCGCUCAUGUGUGCAAGGGCAGCAGCAAGAGCCCGUGUACCCUGUUGAUCGUAUAGCUUUUGUGCAGUUGGGGUGAAGAAGUCUAUGGACUCAUCAUGAACGCCAGAAAGGGUAGCAAUCACUUGCUCUGCUGAUGAACCCAAUACAUCGUCAACACCUGGAGGGCUUAUGAAUUCAAAUUUGCAUCCCACAUCUUGCUCGAGAGUUUUGACUGUUCUCCUUUGACUAUUUGUGUACAUCAAAAUGGCCUUGCCUUUCUUUCCUGCACGCCCGGUUCUUCCAGAACGAUGCACAAAAGUCUCCGGAUCAUUCGGUAGUUCAUAGUGGAUAACCUGGAAAGCAGUUUAUCAGGUCAGAGGAUAUCAAAUAUAAGUAAAUAACAUCAUUACAUCAAAGAGAAGGAACAUACUAAGUCAACAUUUGGUAUAUCGAGCCCACGAGAAGCAACGUCGGUGGCAACAAGCACGGUAAAUUUUCCUUGUCUGAAUCCAUUAAGUGUUCUUUCCCUUUGAUGUUGAGAUAUGUCACCAUGUAAUGCCUCUGAAGCUAUACUACUAGUCAAUGCCAUGGAGACUUCAUCUGCAUCCCUUUUUGUUUGAGUGAAUAUAAUGGUCUUCCCACCCUUUGCGUAUACCUAAAACCAUUUCAAACCAUAAGACUUUCCAUCAAUCAGAAUCAGGGGUGUUCACGGUUCAGUUCGGCCGGUUCUGACGAAUGUUUUGGGACAAAUCACCAUGGUUUCAAUAAAAACAACAAAUAAAACCAGGCGGGUCCGACAGACCCGCCGGUUAGGAAUCGAUAUUUUUUAUUUUCAAAUUCGUUAGUAUGUAUUAAAAAAAAAUAGAGUAAAUUGCGGUUUUGGUCCCUGUGGUUUAUAGCCCAUUGCAAUAUUUUACAAAAUCCAAAUGCCUUGCAGCUUACAUGCCAAGGUUUCAAUUUUAUUGCAAUUUUACUCCACAAGACUAACUCCAUCCAUCUUUAGUUUAAUCCUAGUGACAUGAAAAGCAUGUAAUGGGCAAACUUCUCUUGAAGUAAAUUGGUGCAUAAUAAAACAACGUUGCAUGCUCCUUUUACAAAAACAUGGCAUACUUCUCUUGCUUGUAAGAUGAUUCAUGGUUUUAAUCUUUAGAUUUUAAAUUUUCUAUUUUCUUUUUUUUUCUCAACCGCAAGUCAACAUACAUGUUGUGACUUUCUAAACAGAACUCAUAACACUUACGUAUAUAUACUUACAUAUGUGUAUUAAUAUAAUAUUACAUAUAUUUAUAAUAUAACCUUUAAGCUAAUCGCAUAUACACAUACAUGUCUACACAUUAGUGAUAAUUGGUGAUUAAUUUAUUUAGUUAUUUAUUUUAGUUUGAUCGGUUACUCAUCUAAACAUAUACGUUAAUACCUUACACCUCAAACGACUAUUUUACUUGUUAUUGUUAUUAUUUAGUUUUUCUUAUAUGUAUACAACUUCAGGUAGAGGAUCCUGUAAAAAGUGCUCAAAGUGUGAGAAGUGGAGGUGAAAGUGUGGUGGGUCUUGUGGGCAGUUGGUAGAGGGAGGAGACGCCUAUGAUUGAAGCCAUGACGGUGGUGAAUGUGGUGGCGGAACGGCGGGGGUUGGAAGAAGGCUGGAAAGAUAAGGAAGGGUGAGAGGGUAC
rnacentral:lncRNA from 1 species